GCCUGACUGGCUCAGUCUGUAGAGCAUGUGACUCUUGGUCUCAGGGUAGUGAGUUCACAUCCCACAUUGGGCA
rnacentral:tRNA from 1 species